GGGACCGCGCGCCGGGAGCUGCGGGGGCACCCUCCGGGCAGAUCGGUAAUAGAGCCCUCCGUCUGGGGGAGCGCACCCCUGCGGCCGUGGAAAAGCGGGGGCCAUACAUGGUGACGCGCGCACCCUCCAUUCAAGCCAAGCUGCAGAAGCACCGGGACCUGGCCAAGGCCGUUCUGCGGAGAAAAGGCAUGCUGGGGGCCUCGCCGAACCGCCCAGACUCUUCAGGGAAAAGGUCAGUGAAGUUUAACAAGGGCUAUACUGCUCUUAGCCAGAGUCCAGAUGAAAACCUGGUGUCCCUCGACUCUGACAGGUGAGUGCUCCCCUUGGAAAUAUCCCCUUGGGAAGCAACUUGGCUGGAACUGAAGAUCGCCUGAUGCCUUUGCUUGUUCCCUGUCUCCUCCAAGGCCCUUCAUGUAUAUUCCAGGGCUGUUCUCUUCUGAACAAUAUCCCUUCCCAGGAUGGCUUGGUUAGAAGACUCAUAGGUAAUCAUGCUGCUCUAGAAUUCGGAGCACCGAUGUCCGGGGGAUCAUCCUGCCCUUUUAUGUUUGCGCUGUUAGUGAGAGUGACCCUGUCCCUGCCAGAACCAAUUGAGGGAACCAGUAUUACUCAAGGCCUAUUCAGACUUGAGUUCUGUUGUGUGUGGCUUUUGCUUCACAAGUCUUCCAGAUGCCCUUGCAUGCUCUCCGCCUGAUGAUUUACAGCCGUGCGCCACAGGUACCUCCCGGAACUGACUGUUUUCCUCUUCUCCUAGUGAUGGGGAGCUGGAAUCCAGAUACUCCUCCGGGUAUUCAUCUGCAGAGCAGGUGAACCAGGAUGUCAGCCGGCAGCUGCUUCAGGAUGGGUAUCACCUGGAUGAGAUUCCAGAUGACGAGGACUUGGACCUCAUCCCCCCUAAGCCCAUGGCCUCUUCAACGUGCUCCUGCUGCUGGUGCUGUCUUGGGGACUCUUCCUCCUGUACCCUCCAGUAGACAUUACUCUCCAAGAUGGGCCCUGCUCACCAUGAGGCCUACAGAGCCCUGUUGGUCACUCAUAGCUCACACAGUGCAGUGAGCACUGA
rnacentral:sRNA from 1 species